rnacentral:rRNA from 1 species
GACGAACGCUGGCGGCGUGCCUAAUACAUGCAAGUUGAGCGCUGAAGGUUGGUACUUGUACCAACUGGAUGAGCAGCGAACGGGUGAGUAACGCGUGGGGAAUCUGCCUUUGAGCGGGGGACAACAUUUGGAAACGAAUGCUAAUACCGCAUAAAAACUUUAAACACAAGUUUUAAGUUUGAAAGAUGCAAUUGCAUCACUCAAAGAUGAUCCCGCGUUGUAUUAGCUAGUUGGUGAGGUAAAGGCUCACCAAGGCGAUGAUACAUAGCCGACCUGAGAGGGUGAUCGGCCACAUUGGGACUGAGACACGGCCCAAACUCCUACGGGAGGCAGCAGUAGGGAACCUUCGGCAAUGGACGAAAGUCUGACCGAGCAACGCCGCGUGAGUGAAGAAGGGUUUCGGAUCGUAAAACUCUGUUGGUAGAGAAGAACGUUGGUGAGAGUGGAAAGCUCAUCAAGUGACGGUAACUACCCAGAAAGGGACGGCUAACUACGUG